rnacentral:rRNA from 1 species
CGGGGUUAAGGAAAAUAAAAUCAUGGUUGUUGGACGGUAUAAACACGGCUUUUGCCUCGUUCUUUGGCCUCUCCCUUCUGAUUCUACCCAUGUCUUUUACUCACUAUCAGUUUCCUCGGUGGGCUUGCCUGCCGAUUGGACAACCUAAAACCAUUUGUACUUGCAGUCAGCGUCUCUCAUAAAAUUAAUAUUACAACUUUCAACAACGGAUCUCUUGGUUCUGGCAUCGAUGAAGAACGCAGCGAAAUGCGAUAAGUAGUGUGAAUUGCAGAAUUCAGUGAAUCAUCGAAUCUUUGAACGCACAUUGCCCCCCCUUGGUAUUCCAUGGGGCAUGCCUGUUCGAGCGUCAUUUGUACCCUCAAGCUCUGCUUGGUGUUGGGUGUUUGUUCCCUGAACUCACCUUAAAACAAUUGGCAGCCGGCAUGUUGGCCUGGAGCGCAGCACAAUUUGCGUCCCAUUCCAGUAGUGUCGGCACCCAUCAAGACCUAUAUUUUGCUCUUGACCUCGGAUCAGGUAGGGAUACCCACU